rnacentral:rRNA from 1 species
CAGCAGCCGCGGGAAUACAGAGGGUGCGAGCGUUAAUCGGAUUUACUGGGCGUAAAGCGUGCGUAGGCGGCUUCUUAAGUCGGAUGUGAAAUCCCUGAGCUUAACUUAGGAAUUGCAUUCGAUACUGGGAAGCUAGAGUAUGGGAGAGGAUGGUAGAAUUCCAGGUGUAGCGGUGAAAUGCGUAGAGAUCUGGAGGAAUACCGAUGGCGAAGGCAGCCAUCUGGCCUAAUACUGACGCUGAGGUACGAAAGCAUGGGGAGCAAACAGGAUUAGAUACCCGCGUAGUCCUGUCUCUUAUACA